UAACUUUGACAAGGCAUAAUCUCGUCAGAUCUCAGAAGAUAAGCGAGGCCGGGCCUGGUUAGUUUUUGGAUGGGAGACGGCUGGGAAUUUCAGGU
rnacentral:rRNA from 1 species